rnacentral:rRNA from 1 species
AGGGGCGGACGGGUGAGUAACGCGUGGGUAACCUGCCCUGUACACACGGAUAACAUACCGAAAGGUAUGCUAAUACGAGAUAAUAUACUUUUAUCGCAUGGUAGAAGUAUCAAAGCUCCGGCGGUACAGGAUGGACCCGCGUCUGAUUAGCUAGUUGGUAAGGUAACGGCUUACCAAGGCGACGAUCAGUAGCCGACCUGAGAGGGUGAUCUGCCACAUUGGAACUGAGACACGGUCCAAACUCCUACGGGAGGCAGCAGUGGGGAAUAUUGCACAAUGGGCGAAAGCCUGAUGCAGCAACGCCGCGUGAGCGAUGAAGGCCUUCGGGUCGUAAAGCUCUGUCCUCAAGGAAGAUAAUGACGGUACUUGAGGAGGAAGCCCCGGCUAACUACGUGCCAGCAGCCGCGGUAAUACGUAGGGGGCUAGCGUUAUCCGAAAUUACUGGGCGUAAAGGGUGCGUAGGUGGUUUCUUAAGUCAGAGGUGAAAGGCUACGGCUCAACCGUAGUAAGCCUUUGAAACUGGGAAACUUGAGUGCAGGAGAGGAGAGCGGAAUUCCUAGUGUAGCGGUGAAAUGCGUAGAUAUUAGGAGGAACACCAGUUGCGAAGGCGGCUCUCUGGACUGUAACUGACACUGAGGCACGAAAGCGUGGGGAGCAAACAGGAUUAGAUACCCUGGUAGUCCACGCCGUAAACGAUGAGUACUAGCUGU